ACUUUCCCUGACGCACCUUCUGGGAUCAAAGAGGGCUGUUCCCAUUUCGCCUUUUGCCACUUCCUCCCUGGGGUAUCUCCACCUCUCCAACGCGAACGGAGACCCAGUUCUUUGGGGGAUGUUUUGGUGUCCGGGGUGUGAUCUCCCCCGUAAAGGAACCACCACCCUUGGGUUUUCCCCUCCUGUCAGUGGAACCUGUGACCAGUGGUUCCUUCCUGUCAUUUUCCUCCCGGAAGGUGGCUCAGGGGUGCAUUCGAGCGUGACUCCAGACCCCCCCCCCCGCCCCCCCGAUGAGUUUUGGAGUAGAGAUGUGCCUGCAGAGAAAACACAGCGCUGGAUAGGUGCUUCUGGCUGCCUCUUCCUCUUUCUGAGAUACCGCACCCCCUCCUCCCAGCUCUCACGCACCCCAGCACACACACAGCAACAGGAGCAGAGAUGCUGUGGAGAUUAGAGAUACCAUCACGUUUGGAGCAUUUCUUGCACACGGUAGGAACAGGAUGAUUUCACCAAAGAGGAAGAGCCACAAAGAAGGAGUAAGGCGUCUGUCUGGGCAGCUCCGGCUCUCCGGGACUCACACUGAGCAGUGGAAGAGUUCCUGUUGUUCCACAUCCCCAGCACCAUCUGAUGUUUCCAGGGUUCUGGAUUUGGGCCUACAACUUUAACAGAUGUGUGGCGGUGACUCAUUGUCGCAGUGUGUAUUUCCCUGAUAACAUGUGAUGUGGCCCACCUUUUCACAUGCUGAUUUUCCCUCUGUGUAUCUUUGGUGAAGUGUCUGUUAAGGUUUUUGGCCCAUUGUUUAACUGGAUUGUUUGUUUCCU